GUCUUUUAGAUUAAUAAUUUAAAGUCUAAUCUGCCCACUGAAAAAUUUAAAGGGCCGCAAUUAAUUGUGCUAAGGUAGCAUAAUAAUUAGUUUUUUAAUUGAAAACUAGAAUGAAUGAUUGGACGAGAUAUAUAUUGUUUAAAAUUUAUUAAAAUAAAAUUUAUUAUUUUAGUCAAAAAACUAAAAUUUUUUAAAAAGACGAGAAGACCCUAUAGAUCUUUAUAUAAAUUAAAAUUUAAAAUUUUAAUUUAUAUUAAAUUGGGGUGAUUAAAAAAUUUAUUUAACUUUAAAAAAUUUAAACAUUUAUAUUUGGGUGACUGGUAUUAUGAACUAUUUAUAUAAUAAAUAAAGAUUAAGAUACCUUAGGGAUAACAGCGUAAUAUUAAUUUUAAGUUCUUAUUAAAAUUAAAGAUUGCGACCUCGAUGUUGAAUUAAAAUUUAUAUUAAAUGCAGAAGUUUAAUAAUUAAGUCUGUUCGACUUUUAAAAUUUU
rnacentral:rRNA from 1 species